CUGUCUGUACACUGUGAUUUGUUUGUGCAUUGUUGGAAUAAAGAGUUAUACCCAUUUUAUUGGAUUUUUAAUUGUACAUUUGGUAAACACCUUUUAAAGAAACUGGUAUCUCACACAGUUGAUUUCUAUGCAUGACUAUGUAUGUAUAGGCCUUUUGUAUUGCUUGUAUAAUUUUUCAGAUUUUUUCAACGCUCCUGUUAAGUUAGAAAUGGACAAAACUCCAAGUGUCUAAGUGGGUGUGGUUUCAUUGUAAUUUGCUUUGAGGAAGUGUUAUGUAGAGAACUUUGCAAAAGGUGUUCCAAACUCAAGAAAUUUCAUUCAGUGCCGGUCUACUUCAUCUCUGGGUAGUAUUGUGAUAGGAUGCUGGACACACUGCCGCUUCACUACACCUUCAUUAUUUGUUGGAUUAUUCUUUGUUUGUGGCCGAUAUUGAUAAUUCUAACUGAUACAGUGUUUUUGAUGCUAUUGUUAUACUGGUGGUAUGAGUAUUCUAGCCUAUCUAUGCAUGUAUUGGGCUCUACAUUGUAUGAAAAUGCUGCUGAAAAUUGAUCUGUUUUUCAAUUUAUUCAUAGGAUACUAUAAGAAAUCUAACCAGUAAAUACCUAGAAAAUCAAAGAAAUAUUCAGAUAAUCUCAUUUUACAAUGAAUUUUCUUGUUUUUUU